GUGUCAGCCGCCGCGGUAAUACGUAGGACGCAAGCGUUAUCCGGAUUUAUUGGGUUUAAAGGGUGCGUAGGCGGACCCAUAAGUCAGUGGUGAAAUACUGUCGCUCAACGAUAGCAUUGCCAUUGAUACUGUGGGUCUUGAGUACAGUUGAGGUAGGCGGAAUGUGUAGUGUAGCGGUGAAAUGCUUAGAUAUUACACAGAACACCGAUUGCGAAGGCAGCUUACUAAGCUGAAACUGACGCUGAGGCACGAAAGCGUGGGGAUCAAACAGGAUUAGAUACCCCAGUAGUCC
rnacentral:rRNA from 1 species